rnacentral:rRNA from 1 species
CGACCGGCGCACGGGUGAGUAACACGUAUCCAACCUGCCGUCUACUCUUGGCCAGCCUUCUGAAAGGAAGGUUAAUCCAGGAUGGGAUCAUGAGUUCACAUGUCCGCAUGAUUAAAGGUUUACCGGUGUAAGAUGGGGAUGCGUUCCAUUAGAUAGUAGGCGGGGUAACGGCCCACCUAGUCUUCGAUGGAUAGGGGUUCUGAGAGGAAGGUCCCCCACAUUGGAACUGAGACACGGUCCAA